GCUGGGCAGGCACUAGCAAGCAGGAGAAGGUCUGCCUCCGCUAGAGCCUCGCUAGUGGGAAUCCCUACUGACAGCCCUGCUUCGCACUGGGGAGGGGGGAAGCAGAACCUUGUCUGCUCGUUGACAAGGGACAGAGCUUUGAUCGCUCUUCUCCAGCCCUGACUUGGCCCGAGGUUUAGAUCCCCAGUCCCGAAGUCCACGGGCUCUCCUCACUCCUGCACGCACCCACUCGCACACACCCCUUUGCCGACAGAUCCGUGUCACGGCUGUAACUGAGGCACACAGCAAUAAACAUAGCAGAACCAAUCUCCAUGGUGGCAAGAGGGGGCACUGGAGGUGACAACAAUGGAGAAGGAUCUUUCUGCUGACAAGUUUUAGGAUUUGCUGACAGAGCCCCAAAGAUGCCAGAGAUCAUCCUCAUCUCGCCGUGCGCUCUCUCCACAGAUGGCUGGGGCUCAUGGAGCCAUCACUGCCCCUCCAAUGCAGCCUGCACUUCAAGGGGCUUCACUCCAAGUGCCGCAGGCCUCCAGGCUGAGACACAGUGGAUGAUUGAUUGUACCCGCCAGCUGGCUAAUAUCAUAAUUAACAAAGUUGCUACCAUGUCUGAGAAGUUUAAUCGAAAAAAUUGCUGGCAGUAUGAUACCAUUGUCACAGAGAUCACAAGCACUGCAGUGUCGACUUUUGUACUGUUGGAGCCGCAGGACUAUGUAGAUGUGCAGAGAAGUCGUUCGCUGGGAUAACUGAUGGGUGACACAUGAAGCUAUUCUGUUGUAUUUUAAAGCAGUGGCAAUGGCAAUUUCGAAUGUUUUAUCAGUGCAACAAAAGUGAGCUGUGCUUGCAGACGGUGCAUGACUGGGCUCUGCUGGAGCUGCCCAGUGGCAUCCUUCCUCUGUUCUGCUCGUCGCCGCUGGAGCAGCCGUGCUACAGGGAUGCCGAACCUGGGAGCUACUGCCUGAGACAAACCCUCAUGCAGGGAUGUCAGCAGAAGCACAUGGAGGCAUGUCAGUAAGGUUUAGUUGGUGGAUCACAUUUUGAAAUCGGCAGCCAUGAAAAGACCUCCAUUUAUUGCACCCUUCAAAACAAAAUAUUAUCAUGGGAGGCUAAGCUGGGUGUUAUGGAGUAAUGACUUCAAGUUCUGCUUCAGAGGUAACUCCAUGGCACUACAAGGAGAGCUGUGAAUGAAAAAUGGAGGCUAAUAACGAAGGAGUCAGUGAAGGAGACCAAUGCCACAAGGGUUAUCUCGCAGCCCCAGAUGCUGGAUAAGUUGGAAGAGGCAGAAUCGCUUUUGGAUGACAUUCAGGAAGGCCUUGAAUGAUUAUUUGGUGAAGAAAAGACUAUUCUUUCCAAGGUUUUUUUUUUCUCAAUGCAGCAAUGAUCUUUCAAGAAUCCUUUCUGAGACAAAGGAUCCACUCCACAUCCAGCCACACCUAAAGAAAUGCUUUGAAGGAAUUGCCAAGCUCACUUUUAAUCAUGAGAAAGAAAUUACCCACAUGGAGUCAGCAGAAAAUGAAAAAGUAGAGCUCGUGCUGUGAAUAAUUCCAGCAAGUGCCAAGGGGCUAGUUGAGCAAUGGCUUCAUGAGGUGAAUAUCUUUAGCUCUUACUUAGGGUUUAGUUACUGUAUAAUCAUUUUCUCUUUUAGGAGCAAUGAAUAUCAUAAGCAUAUUUCCUACCUAAACAGCUCUUUGAAUAUUUGUCAAGAUGUUGACAGAUUUCAGCCUUAUUGUUGUUAUUUAUUGCAGAUAAUAUAGCAACUCCAAGUGUGCAAAAAUUAAUUUUAAUAAAAAGCUCUCCAAGUCAGGCUGUCAGCAGAAGUGGAUCUGUGUCUGAAACCAUGUAUGUGAAUAUAUGUCUGAGUCUACAUGUAUGUGUUUUUGUGCUUUCAUGGUGUAAUGUCUGUAGCUGAGGAGGAAAACAUUUUAAAAUUAACCAGAGAAAUAUAAGAUUUCAAAUGCAUCCCAUCCUGUACAGAUGUGUUCCAUUAUAUCAGAAGGAUUCUAUUUCCAAUGUCUUUUAACAAGAACAAAGAGAAAUUAUGUCACUGAUAACGCCCUAACCUUUCCCCUUGGAGCCUCUCAUCCAAAUUCAUUGUUUUCAGCAUGAAAUUACUUUGGUGACCUUUUUGUUGAUGUUCUUGUUGUUCAUUUUAUUUAACCUUCCUUUGUUAAAGGUUGGGAAUGGGCCCUUUUGUUGUUCUUUGUUUCUGGGCCAAAAGCCCAUCCCCUACCCCCUACACCUCCCUUUCUUUUGGGGCAGGAUCAGCCCCGGGUAGGCAGGGGUUGACAGCUAGUGAGAUGGGGUAGCUGGAGGAGCACUAUUUCCAUCCCCAGCUGAUUUAUUGGACUCCCUGGGUGCCAAGGAACAGUGAAGCCUGGUGCAGGCAGUGAGUUCCAUCAUAUGUUGCUUUUCUGCUGUCUGGUUGAACAAAGUUGAGCCCCUUGAGCCAUCUUGUGAGGCCUUGUUUCCCACUGCACUGAGUUGUGUGGCAGCAAUGUGCCAGGUUGUGGCUGAGCCACUUCUUACAGUGACUUAUUCAAGAUGGUCCAUCAGCAGCAUCCUUUGGGGUAAGGGAGGAAAACAUUACAGGAUUUAGACAAACACAAACCCUUCUACCCUGUUCUCUGUGUCACGUGUCUAGCUUGAUGUUUGGACAAAUUUUCAGCACAGAGUUAUCUUCCUGGGGAAAAGUUUUCAUAAAAAAUUGCAGUGGGUAAAUGGCAAUACUGAGGUUCCCAGGAAAAGCCUAAUUCUCAGUUACACUAAGCAUGCAAUAUACUUUUCAGUUUUUUAUUUUUCCCACAAAUGAUGAAGAUUUGGGGAUGUGAGCAGCUGUGUUUAUUUUAAUACAUUUCAUUUAACCUUCACCUAAAAACAAAUUGGAAGGUUUGGGAGUGCAUUAAUCUGGACCCAAUUAGUGUCUCUUCUUCUCUCAAAAGUGCAACCUGAGAUUAAUGAAUAUAAACUAGAGUUUCAUAUGCAGUCUUUAAAUCAUUUGCAUGUUUUAUGCAUGAUAAUUGAAUUUAUUUAUGCACUUCCUUUCAUUUAAUGAUUUCUUGCUCUUUUCUGUGCUAUCAACAUCAUAUUAUGCAAGAAAUAGGAUUUGGUAGGCAAGAAAGAAUAGGAGUACAUAUAUCAAACCUAAGGUAAUUUUUAGUUCUAGUGUCAACAGUACAUCACUGUUAAUUUUGGUAUCAUGCAAGGUGGGUACAUAGCUGGAAAAAUAUAAAAUAUUUUUGGUGAAGGCUUUUAGCUUAACAAGACAUUUCUGAUGCAGCCUAGUUUGCUUGCAAGUGUGCAAGCAAAAUUAUUUUCAAAUGGCAGUUAAAUUAUUGUAUUGACUUUUCAAUGACCCUGGAGACUUGUGUUUCAACUUGGCCAAUUAGUAGUAAUAAGAAGAUGAAUAGUAAUUACAUUAAUAAAUAACUGUUUUCAGACCAGGAGCUCAGUAUCAUAGUCUGGCUAAGAAAAUAAGGGCAUAUUAUAAUUUGUCUCAUUUUGUCUUUGAUCGGGAGAAAUAGAGACUUUGGAACUAUAGUAAAUAGCUCAUAGCCCAGAAUGUAGCAAUCCUAGGGACUAGUGAGCCAUAUCAGCUAGCAGCUCUGUGGUAGUAGCUGUUUCAGUGCCAUGAGUAGGGAAUUUUGCUUUGUUUCUCUACUUAAGCUCAGAUGUCUUGAAGAUUUCUCUAGUGAUUGUCUCUGCCUUUUUUAUAAAGCACGCCAGGAAGCCACUAUGGCAAAGAAUUUUAGUAAGAUGCUGGUAGUGGUGCUUUCAAAGCCUUAACCUAUACCAGAUUCUAUUUUGUCUCGUCUUCCCUUAUGUGUUGAAAGAUGUAUGUGGAAGUGACAUUUUUCUGUGGUGUCUUGUCUUUUAUCAGUGGAUUAAAUGGUUGUGUGUUGUGAUUGUUUCCUGAUUCUUGUAGGUAGGAAUGUGUUUAAAGGCAAAAGCUCUGUUAAUUUGUGAUGUAACCAUUUCAGUGUGUUCCUUGUCAUUGAAAUGUAGUUUCAAAUGUUCAGUAAUGUAGCAUGAAAUGAUUGGUUAGUUUUGGAGUGGUGGUGAAAUCAUGUGAAGAAAAUAAGUAUUGCAUCUGAUCAAGAUAAAUUCACUCUAGUGUUUUAUGGCUUUUUAUUCCUAUGUGAUAGUAAUAAAGUCUCAUGUAGGGAUGGAAGCCAUGAAAUACAUUGUGAAAAAUCAUCAACUCAGAUGGGGCCAUCAGGAUAGCAUGCUGUAGUUGUAGAGUUAUUGAGAAUGAUUGGAAGAUGAUUUAGUAUGCCACCAUGUUGACUACCACGUUAUUCAUUUUGCUUCUUCAUCCCUUACUCAUGUAGUUUGAUGAGAGGAAAUAAGUUUCUAAUGAGCUGAUCCAUCUUCACAUCAGUGUUCAGUGUUUAUACCAUUCAUACAUCUUUCAUUUUCUGCUAAAGAUAACACUGUAUAUGAAACACCAAGCUAAGAAUUUAAUGUAUCUAAUAAACAAAUGCCAAAAUGAAUACCAGGAAAAGCCAACAAAUUAGUAAAUGCUUGAAAAUUAAGGACAAAACAAAACAAGGUCUACCCUGUUAGCAAGUGAUCCAGGUUCUUUACUUCCAUGUUCAAAAGCAAAUCUGAGUGAUGAUCUGGGGAUUGAUGAAGAAUUCUCUUUCCCCACUUUCUUGUCCUUGUGAAAGUGCAUGAUCUUUUCUCAUUCUGGAACUGAGAUAAAAGCUGAUAGUGUUGAGAACAGAAAACAAUCCCUGACAAUUUCUUUGCAUUGCUGCCAUUCCACAUAGUGCCUUACCACUCUGCUUGGCUCCUGGGUACCAGUUUCCUUUGGGAAUAUUUUUGAGUAGGCUAUUUGUUCUGCUACAGCUGUUUACAAUUUUCAUUCUGUAUUCUUUCUCUUAAAAAUAUACUAAUAAAACUAUUGAUUUUUUGUA